rnacentral:rRNA from 1 species
GCGUGGGAAUCUGCCCUCAGGAGGGGGAUAACGGCCGGAAACGGCCGCUAAUACCCAAUAUGCCGAGAGGUGAAAUGAAUUUCGCCUGAGGAUGAGCCCGCGUCUGAUUAGCUAGUUGGUGAGGUAAGAGCUCACCAAGGCAUCGAUCAGUAGCUGGUCUGAGAGGAUGAUCAGCCACACUGGAACUGAGACACGGUCCAGACUCCUACGGGAGGCAGCAGUGGGGAAUAUUGCACAAUGGGCGCAAGCCUGAUGCAGCCAUACCGCGUGUGUGAAGAAGGCUUUCGGGUUGUAAAGCAC